AGGGGCGGGGCCUACGGAAGCUGGGAGAGCCAAACUUUGCCCAAGGAUGGUCUGCGAGUGUGCGACUGGGAGACAAAGGAGACCUCUGACAGAUCGCGACACAGAUGGAUGAAAGGACUAUUGAGAUGUCCAAUUACUUCAACAAAAGACCACUCAUAGAGAUUGAGGCCUAAGACAAGGAACAGGAAGGACCAGUGGAAUGGCCACCCCUGACGUCAGUUACUCAAGUAAAAACUGUAUCAACAGAAAUCUAGACUGCAAGGAGAGGCUGGGGAAACCGUUCAUGUGUACUGGACAAAAGAUGACUGAUUCUACACUUUUCUCUAAUGAUCUAGAUCUGCACGGCAUCCAUAUGCUUUAUAACGGUUGUACAACUGCCAUGGCACACGGCUGUGAUCCCAGUACUGGGGAGGACAAGGGAAGAGGACUGCAAAUUCAAAGCCAGCCCGAUCUACACUAUGUUCUCAUUCCAGAAGCAUUAACAGAACCUGCCAUCCACUUCCUUCACAAAGUGGACUCCGUGAAGAGUGACCCCUAGUGUGAUCUCGAGCCUUGUACUCUGAGAGUGAAUCUGAGAAACCCGGUCUACCUCUGCCUACCUGCCCCAUGGCCUGAACUCCAUGCUUAGAACAGACUUUACUUUUCAUAUGCCAUAAGAACUUAAUCUAUGAAAAACACAAAGGUUAUUCUUUAGGAUUCUUAUGAGUUCUACGAAGUCCUAUUUCAUCCGGAGAUGGAAUACUGUAUUACCAAACAGCAAAGGCAGAAAGGGGGAGGGGGAGGAGGGGCAGAAAGAGGGGGAAAUAAGAACAUGUUACAUCUUUUAAAAAUUCUGGAGGAUUAAUGUAACGGUCAUAUGAGACAUCAGCUAACAUCACCCUUUCUUUAAUUAACUGGUUAUUACGGAAAAAUCCGUCAUUUUAUCAAGUUUCCACCAUUUUUUUGGAAGAGAAACACGCUUUUACAAGGUUGGAAUGUGGUUGUCACGUGGCCUUGCAUAGUUUUCAAAUAAUCAUUCAAGUGCGUUCGAACCUGGUUUACUUGACUAAAAAAUACCAGACAUAUAAUAAAAGUUAAGGCCACACAUACCUGGCGG